rnacentral:rRNA from 1 species
CAAGCUUUUAAGAGCAGAUGGCGGAUGCCUUGCCAAAGAGAGGCGAUGAAGGACGUACUAGACUGCGAUAAGCUAUGCGGAGCUGUCAAGGAGCUUUGAUGCGUAGAUGUCCGAAUGGGGCAACCCAACUAAUAGAGAUAUUAGUUACUCUAACAGAGAGCGAACCUAGUGAAGUGAAACAUCUCAGUAACUAGAGGAAAAGAAAUCAACGAGAUUCCCUAAGUAGUGGCGAGCGAACGGGGAAAAGGGCAAACCGAGUGCUUGCAUUCGGGGUUGAGGACUGCAACAUCCAAGAGAACGCUUUAGCAGAGUUACCUGGAAAGGUAAGCCAUAGAAAGUGAUAGCCUUGUAUGCGACAAGGCGUUCUUAGGUAGCAGGAUCCAGAGUAGGCCAGGACACGAGGAAUCCAGGUUGAAGCCGGGGAGACCACUCUCCAACCCUAAAUACUACUCUUUGAGCGAUAGCGAACAAGUACCGUGAGGGAAAGGUGAAAAGAACCGCAGUGAGCGGAGUGAAAUAGAACCUGAAACCAUCUGCUUACAAUCAUUCAGAGCCCUAUGAUUUAUCAGGGUGAUGGACUGCCUUUUGCAUAAUGAUCCUGCGAGUUGUGGUAUCUGGCAAGGUUAAGCGAAUGCGAAGCCGUAGCGAAAGCGAGUCUUAAUAGGGCGAACAAGUCAGAUGCUGCAGACCCGAAGCUAAGUGAUCUAUCCAUGGCCAAGUUGAAACGCGUGUAAUAGCGCGUGGAGGACUGAACUCGUACCCAUUGAAACGGGUUGGGAUGAGCUGUGGAUAGGGGUGAAAGGCCAAACAAACUUAGUGAUAGCUGGUUCUCUUCGAAAUAUAUUUAGGUAUAGCCUCAAGUGAUAAUAAAAGGGGGUAGAGCCCUGAUUGGGCUAGGGCUGCUCGCCGCGGUACCAAACCCUAUCAAACUUCGAAUACCUUUUAUCGUAUCUUGGGAGUCAGGCGGUGGGUGAUAAAAUCAAUCGUCAAAAGGGGAACAACCCAGACUACCAAAUAAGGUCCCUAAGUUCUAUUCUGAGUGGAAAAAGAUGUGUGGCUACUCAAACAACCAGGAGGUUGGCUUAGAAGCAGCCAUCCUUUAAAGAAAGCGUAACAGCUCACUGGUCUAGUGGUCAUGCGCUGAAAAUAUAACGGGGCUAAGAUAGACACCGAAUUUGUAGAUUGUGUUAAACACAGUGGUAGAAGAGCGUUCAUACCAGCGUUGAAGGUAUACCGGUAAGGAGUGCUGGAGCGGUAUGAAGUGAGCAUGCAGGAAUGAGUAACGAUAAGAUAUAUGAGAAUUGUAUCCGCCGUAAAUCUAAGGUUUCCUACGCGAUGGUCGUCAUCGUAGGGUUAGUCGGGUCCUAAGCCGAGUCCGAAAGGGGUAGGUGAUGGCAAAUUGGUUAAUAUUCCAAUACCGACUCAUGGAGCGUGAUGGGGGGACGCAUAGGGUUAAGCGAGCUAGCUGAUGGAAGCGCUAGUCUAAGGGCGUAGAUUGGAGGGAAGGCAAAUCCACCUCUGUAUUUGAAACCCAAACAGGCUCUUUGAGUCCUUUUAGGACAAAGGGAGAAUCGCUGAUACCGUCGUGCCAAGAAAAGCCUCUAAGCAUAUCCAUAGUCGUCCGUACCGCAAACCGACACAGGUAGAUGAGAUGAGUAUUCUAAGGCGCGUGAAAGAACUCUGGUUAAGGAACUCUGCAAACUAGCACCGUAAGUUCGCGAUAAGGUGUGCCACAGCGAUGUGGUCUCAGCAAAGAGUCCCUCCCGACUGUUUACCAAAAACACAGCACUUUGCCAACUCGUAAGAGGAAGUAUAAGGUGUGACGCCUGCCCGGUGCUCGAAGGUUAAGAGGAUGCGUCAGUCGCAAGAUGAAGCGUUGAAUUGAAGCCCGAGUAAACGGCGGCCGUAACUAUAACGGUCCUAAGGUAGCGAAAUUCCUUGUCGGUUAAAUACCGACCUGCAUGAAUGGCGUAACGAGAUGGGAGCUGUCUCAACCAGAGAUUCAGUGAAAUUGUAGUGGAGGUGAAAAUUCCUCCUACCCGCGGCAAGACGGAGAGACCCCGUGGACCUUUACUACAACUUAGCACUGCUAAUGGGAAUAUCAUGCGCAGGAUAGGUGGGAGGCUUUGAAGUAAGGGCUUUGGCUCUUAUGGAGCCAUCCUUGAGAUACCACCCUUGAUGUUUCUGUUAGCUAACUGGCCUGUGUUAUCCACAGGCAGGACAAUGCUUGGUGGGUAGUUUGACUGGGGCGGUCGCCUCCUAAAAGUAACGGAGGCUUGCAAAGGUUGGCUCAUUGCGGUUGGAAAUCGCAAGUUGAGUGUAAUGGCACAAGCCAGCCUGACUGUAAGACAUACAAGUCAAGCAGAGACGAAAGUCGGUCAUAGUGAUCCGGUGGUUCUGUGUGGAAGGGCCAUCGCUCAAAGGAUAAAAGGUACCCCGGGGAUAACAGGCUGAUCUCCCCCAAGAGCUCACAUCGACGGGGAGGUUUGGCACCUCGAUGUCGGCUCAUCGCAUCCUGGGGCUGGAGCAGGUCCCAAGGGUAUGGCUGUUCGCCAUUUAAAGCGGUACGCGAGCUGGGUUCAGAACGUCGUGAGACAGUUCGGUCCCUAUCUGCCGUGGGCGUAGGAAAGUUGAGGAGAGCUGUCCCUAGUACGAGAGGACCGGGAUGGACGUGUCACUGGUGCACCAGUUGUUCUGCCAAGAGCAUCGCUGGGUAGCUACACACGGAUGUGAUAACUGCUGAAAGCAUCUAAGCAGGAAGCCAACUCCAAGAUAAACUUUCCCUGAAGCUCGCACAAAGACUAUGUGCUUGAUAGGGUAGAUGUGUGAGUGCAGUAAUGCAUUUAGCUGACUACUACUAAUAGAGCGUUUGGCUUGUUUU